rnacentral:rRNA from 1 species
CCUACGAGAGGCAGCAGUGGGGAAUAUUGGACAAUGGGCGCAAGCCUGAUCCAGCCAUACCGCGUGUGUGAAGAAGGCCUUUUGGUUGUAAAGCACUUUAAAGCGAGGAGGAGGCUCUUGAGGAUAAUACCCCUUGAUGAGUGGACGUUACUCGCAGAAUAAGCACCGGCUAACUCUGUGCCAGCAGCCGCGGUAAUACAGAGGGUGCGAGCGUUAAUCGGAAUUACUGGGCGUAAAGCGCGCGUAGGCGGCUUGUUAAGUCGGAUGUGAAAUCCCCGGGCUCAACCUGGGCACUGCAUUCGAUACUGGCAAGCUAGAGUAUGGGAGAGGAAGGUAGAAUUCCAGGUGUAGCGGUGAAAUGCGUAGAGAUCUGGAGGAAUACCGAUGGCGAAGGGCAGCCUUCUGGCCUAAUACUGACGCUGAGGUGCGAAAGCAUGGGGGANACAAACAGGUAUUAGACUACCCGUGGUACGUCCAUGACCGUAACGAUAGUACAACUACGUCGGUCGGGUACCGUU